AGCGAACGCUGGCGGCAGGCCUAACACAUGCAAGUCGAACGAAGCCUUCGGGCUUAGUGGCGGACGGGUGAGUAACACGUGGGAACGUGCCUUUAGGUUCGGAAUAACUCAGGGAAACUUGUGCUAAUACCGAAUGUGCCCUUCGGGGGAAAGAUUUAUCGCCUUUAGAGCGGCCCGCGUCUGAUUAGCUAGUUGGUGAGGUAAAGGCUCACCAAGGCGACGAUCAGUAGCUGGUCUGAGAGGAUGAUCAGCCACAUUGGGACUGAGACACGGCCCAAACUCCUACGGGAGGCAGCAGUGGGGAAUCUUGCGCAAUGGGCGAAAGCCUGACGCAGCCAUGCCGCGUGAAUGAUGAAGGUCUUAGGAUUGUAAAAUUCUUUCACCGGGGACGAUAAUGACGGUACCCGGAGAAGAAGCCCCGGCUAACUUCGUGCCAGCAGCCGCUGUAAAAC
rnacentral:rRNA from 1 species